CUCUUUUCUGUUUUGCACAUAUAUGAUUGUUGCAAGAGGUUGCUACUUAAUUGUGUUUACAUUGACAAAUCUUUAGUGUAUGUUUUCUUCAACUGUUUAUGCAAAUUUAGAAAUAGCAUGAACAAAGAAAGUCAAAAGUACAAUUUUUUACUAUCUAUUUCUUCUUUAA